rnacentral:tRNA from 1 species
GGUGUAACUCAGUGGUAGAGCACAUGCUUCGUAUGCAUGAAACCCUGAGUUCCAUCCUCAGCACC